rnacentral:rRNA from 2 species
UUGACCUCGAAUCAGGUAGGACUACCCGCUGAACUUAAGCAUA